UAGGGAAUCUUCGGCAAUGGACGAAAGUCUGACCGAGCAACGCCGCGUGAGUGAAGAAGGUUUUCGGAUCGUAAAACUCUGUUGUUAGAGAAGAACAAGGACGUUAGUAACUGAACGUCCCCUGACGGUAUCUAACCAGAAAGCCACGGCUAACUACGUGCCAGCAGCCGCGGUAAUACGUAGGUGGCAAGCGUUGUCCGGAUUUAUUGGGCGUAAAGCGAGCGCAGGCGGUUUCUUAAGUCUGAUGUGAAAGCCCCCGGCUCAACCGGGGAGGGUCAUUGGCAACUGAGAGACUUGAGUGCAGAAGAGGGGAGUGGAAUUCCAUGUGUAGCGGUGAAAUGCGUAGAUAUAUGGAGGAACACCAGUGGCGAAGGCGGCUCUCUGGUCUGUAACUGACGCUGAGGCUCGAAAGCGUGGGGAGCAAACAGG
rnacentral:rRNA from 1 species